ensembl:lncRNA
CGGCAAAGGUAACGUGCAUGUUUACCGGUAUGUCUGGAUCAUAUUGCAAUGGCACGAAGACACAUUGAAGCAUUUCAGUUUGACCCAGAAUCCGAUCCAGAUGGAGAAGCAACGGAUGAAGAAGUUGCAACUCAGCGCCUCCAGAAGGAUGUUUCCGAAUGACCUGCUGCUUCCUCUGCUGCGCCUACUAGCUCCUGGCCUCACCACCCAACCUUCGCCGUCAGCUCUCCCCCAGCUUCGGACCUGCCUACACAGUAUUCUCGGAGUACCCUGGC